AUGCACGCUGGCGGCGUGCCUCAUCCAUGCAAGUCGAGCGAACAGACGAGGAGCUUGCUCCUCUGACGUUAGCGGCGGACGGGUGAGUAACACGUGGAUAACCUACCUAUAAGACUGGGAUAACUUCGGGAAACCGGAGCUAAUACCGGAUAACAUGUUGAACCGCAUGGUUCAACAGUGAAAGACGGUCUUGCUGUCACUUAUAGAUGGAUCCGCGCCGCAUUAGCUAGUUGGUAAGGUAACGGCUUACCAAGGCAACGAUGCGUAGCCGACCUGAGAGGGUGAUCGGCCACACUGGAACUGAGACACGGUCCAGACUCCUACGGGAGGCAGCAGUAGGGAAUCUUCCGCAAUGGGCGAAAGCCUGACGGAGCAACGCCGCGUGAGUGAAGAAGGUCUUCGGAUCGUAAAACUCUGUUAUUAGGGAAGAACAAAUGUGUAAGUAACUAUGCACGUCUUGACGGUACCUAAUCAGAAAGCCACGGCUAACUACGUG
rnacentral:rRNA from 1 species